rnacentral:snRNA from 1 species
CAGCUCACUUCAGCAGUUCAGGUACAAAAAUUGAAACCAUAUGCAGAAGAUUAGCAUGACCACUGAGCAAGAAUGACAUGCAAAUUCGCGAAGAAAAGGCAGCCCAUUCCU